UACGAAGGGGGCUAGCGUUGCUCGGAAUUACUGGGCGUAAAGGGUGCGUAGGCGGGUCUUUUAAGUCAGGGGUGAAAUCCUGGAGCUCAACUCCAGAACUGCCUUUGAUACUGAAGAUCUUGAGUUCGGGAGAGGUGAGUGGAACUGCGAGUGUAGAGGUGAAAUUCGUAGAUAUUCGCAAGAACACCAGUGGCGAAGGCGGCUCACUGGCCCGAUACUGACGCUGAGGCACGAAAGCGUGGGGAGCAAACAGG
rnacentral:rRNA from 1 species